GUCAACAAACUAACAUCAUCAUAGAUCGGUAGAGCGUGAGACUCUUAAUCUCAAGGUUGUGGGUUCGACCCCCACGUCGGGCU